UGAGGGUUGGACACAUUUGAAGGAGUGCUCAGAUUCCAAAAAACCCCUGACAUCUAAAUCAUGAUCUGCGUAGCUACAUUCUUUUAGAAGACCCACUGCACGUUUGCACGUGUCGUGGAGCGUGUUCUGAGGACCUUCUGGUCCUUGUGAAGACUCCAGAAGGUAGGGAAUGUGGCUUCUUCUCACACCUCAACUACCACUGCUUGGCUGUGGAUUGGUCCUCAACAAUGCUCUCGGCCCCCUUCCCCUGCCACCCGGGUAGGGAGGGAGAGAGAGGAAAAGACAGAGACUUGGCUGCAUUGAAAACUCAACUACACAGCGUUAAUUCAACAUCAAUGAUAAAAGAAAGAUAUACAAUUACAUACAAAUAUGUUCAGAGACUGGCAAAAGCCUCUCUCCUCCCCCCACCCCAGCAACUCCCACAGCAUCUCCUGAGCUGGGAACAGUCCCAUAAAAUCCCGGAACUGCUGGAGAAAGCGGAGGGUGAUGAGGGUCAGGAGAGCUGGAGCCUGGGGGUCCACGGGGAGGGAGGGACGGAGUCCUCCCCGGAUGCCGGCCACAGGUGGAGGAGAAGGGAAGAAGAAGCAGGAAGGAAGUUGUCUUGUGUGAUCUCUGUGCUUCCCCUGAGCUCACGUAGCUCUCUGGAAUGGAAGAUCUCUGGCCAGUUUUGCUGUCUGUCUCACUCAGCCUCCUCCGGGGGGGUCAGAGAUCUCCCUGUAGCGUCUGAGCCGGCAGAGUGAAGGUGCGACCUUGAAGCCCCAGCAGGACUAUCCGCUUUUUCAGCACCUGAAGAAAAGGUCGAAGAAAGUCAGGUGCACAGAAGCAGAAACUGGGGGGUUCUCCAAGAAGUGUAGGAAACAGAAACAGGUGAAGAAGAGCCAGCAGCAGCUGCAAGAAGAGUUCUAGGUUGUGCAGGAUGAAGUAUUCUCUGAAGACCUUGACUGAGGUAAUGGGUCAUGAUGUCAGGGGUGUUUGUAAGGGAAAAGGUGAGUGCUCCCAGCUCUUAGAAAUCAUGGCUUGAAAACUGUCAACUGCCCAUGCUCAGCACAGGGUUUUUCUGCUCAGUUUCCGGUUUAGCCUUGACUGUGAAAACUUCCUGCUCACAAAAUAUUGUGCAGCGUGUUUUGCAGUUGCCUGAAGAAGAAGCCAGGGCAAGGAAAAGUGCCCCAUUUCCUGCAGACUUGGCUGAGGCUGAAGGCAUCUUUCACUAGAGAACCGGGAUUCUUCAGUCAUUUCUGAGGAAGGAAGGGAC